UACAGGGGGUGCAAACGUUGCUCGGAAUCAUUGGGCGUAAAGCGCACGUAGGCGGUCUGUUAUGUCGGAUGUGAAGGCCCUUGGCUUAACUGAGGAAGUGCAUCCGAAACUGGCAGGCUAGAGUACUAAAGAGGGUCGCGGAAUUCCCGGUGUAGAGGUGAAAUUCGUAGAUAUCGGGAGGAACACCGGUGGCGAAGGCGGCGACCUGGGUAGAUACUGACGCUGAGGUGCGAAAGCGUGGGGAGCAAACAGG
rnacentral:rRNA from 1 species